UCAGUUGUAGAACGUGCUUCCUAUCUUCCGGACGUGUCAGGAAAAAGCUUUUUCGUUUCGAAAAACUUCUACUAUUGCCGUUGUUUUGGGUUAAAAGCAUUUUAGUAUUCCCACGGCUCUUAGUUGUCACUGUCACUUUAAGUUCGUGACUCCUUACGUGUUUAUCCUUUUAAAUCAAAUUCAGUCGCGUGUUGACUGUCAACCAACCAAGUUGUUGGUUGCGGUGAUUUGAUCCUAAAAAAGUGAAGAUAUAAAAUUCAGAUCCUGAAGGCCCGUACAAAAAAAGACAAAAAGUAAAUAAACAUUCAAAGCACUUCUGCAGGUCUUAAAAAAAAAGCAAGUCUUGAAAAAAAAAAAAAAAAUAAAACUCAUUCAAUGAGGCAAAAAGUGAACAAAAAACUACAAAAACAAUGUUUCUAGCUUUAAAUCAAAUUUGGCUUUCGUCCAAGCGAAAAAACGACCUAAACCAACCCCAGCAGUCUUUUCAACCUCAACCCCAUCAACCAGAAGCCCAUCAACAAACAGCUACAGCAACAACAACAACCACAGCAACAGCAGCAACAUCAUCAGCAUCAACAACAACGGAAUUUGAAAGAUCUACUGCGAUGGCAGCAGCAGCAGCAGCAUCAGCAAUGGCGACAGACAACCAAUUGCGAAUGGGGUCGACUAUGUCCUUCCCAUCAACAACAACUUCCGGUCGGAGUAAUGCGCUCAAUGCGGCGGCCACCACUGCUGAUUUCCACCAUGGACUAAAAACUACUACGAAAAGUGAAAACAAAUACCACCAUCAUGUCCGCGAGGGUGAUGAUGGUGGUGGUGAUGAUGUUGGUGGUGGAAGAAUUGGUCAUGGAAACGAUGAUGACACAAUGAAACUAGAAUCCAGAAUUCAACUAUUGAACAUGGAUGCUUUGAAUGUUGGUCGCGUCUCGUGCCAAUGCAAUAGCAAAUGUGUAAAUAAGGACCCUGAUAAAAUAGCCCCUGGAAAUCGAAAUCAAAAUCAAAAUCGAAAUCGAAAUAGUGACAAUGUUGGUGGUAUUGGUGCUAUUGGUAGUAGUGAUGUUAUUGGCUCGCAUAUAUUCCUCGGCGCUAUUUUACUAUGUGUAACAUCGAUGGCGGUGAUUUUAUAUUCGCACGUGAAUAGUAGUGAAACAGACGUGUUAUGGUUUAGAGAGAAUUUUCGCAAUGAACUGUUAGAAAAUAAGCAGGUGCUGCGAUCGAUUGUGAUGCAGAUAAUUAGGGAUAAUCAAGUCCUUCUGAGUGACAGCAGCAGCAGCAGCAGUAAUUAUUACUCAUCUCCACCCACAUUGACUAGGAAAUAUCAAAGCACAACGCUGCCUUACGAUGAUGCUAUUGCAGCUACAACCCAAGUGGUUAAGAACGAACGAAAGUACUCGAGUAGCUUCGCCAGACGAAAACGCAGAGAUAUCGCCUCCUCUUCAAUGCAUGCUGAGCCAUUUAUUGAAUUCUUCAAUCCAAAUCAUCGUAAGGUUCUGGAGGAGCAAGAUGUUGAAAUAAGAAAACGAACUGGACUCAAAGGUGCAGCACCAGGUGGUGACGAUUGGAUUUAUUUGAACACUUAUUGUCGAGUGCCGGAAAAAAUCAUUACUGGAUUUUGUAAAGGCACACAAGAAUACUGUCCACCAAGUCCGCGAGGACCACCUGGUCUACUUGGUCCUAAAGGACCUGUUGGUCCUCCCGGCUUACCAGGAAUUCCCGGUCCAAAGGGAAAUCGUGGCGAUGUUGGAAUACCAGGCCCACCAGGAAUUGAUGGUAUGGAAGGACCGCCUGGAGCUAGGGGACCAAAAGGCGAUAUUGGUAUCCCUGGUGGUUCUGGUCUCGAUGGUCGAGAUGGUGUGCCAGGUGAACCUGGUUUGGAUGGAGUUCCAGGGAGGGCUGGCAAAGAUGGAAUUCCGGGUAAGGAUGGCAAAGAUGGGCAACCAGGCAGAGAUGGACGUGAUGGGUUGAAUGGAAAGGAUGGUGCUCAAGGACCGAAAGGAGCAUCUGGCCCACCGGGAGAGAGAGGCUUAAAAGGUAUUGCCGGUCCUCGAGGUCGUCCCGGAAAGCCCGGCACUAAUGGAACACCUGGCAUCCCGGGCAUAAACGCAUGGAAAGUUAAAGUUAAUGGCACCUAUUCAAGUGAACUGCUCAUUCCGCCAUCGAUUGCAGAUAUCAAUGCACCUGAUAUCCAAAGGACCAUCAUUGUCGAGGAAGGGAAGAACCUACGCUUGGCUUGUGCAGCACACGGAAACCCCCAGCCGCAUGUCGAGUGGCGUCGUGGCGAUGGUCGAACCAUUGCUCUCGAGAGGGAAGAGUUAUCUUCAGUAAGCGGAGAAACAUUACAAAUCAGCAAUGUCAGUAGGAAUCACAUGGCGCCCUACACCUGUUUUGCAGACAACGGGAUACCGCCAGUAGCAAAUGCCACAUUCCUAGUGGAAGUUCACUUUUCACCGAUGAUAGCCGUUUACAGGCAACUUGUGUUUGCAUUAGAGGGUGGCAGUGCAACGCUGGAGUGUCAGGUUGAAGCCUUCCCCGAAGCAAUCCGAUAUUGGGAACGUGUAUCCGAUGGUAAACUGCUUGAUCCUGGUGAAAAGUAUCGAAUCGAAACAUAUCCUGAUGGAUAUAAAACAACUAUGCGUUUAACAAUUAACAAUCUGAACUUCAUGGACUUUGGACAGUAUUUCUGUGUGGCCAAAAAUGAACUCAACACAACUAUGGCAUCGUUCGAAAUAAUUAAGAAAAAUCCUGCCCUUGAAACACCAAUGAUACGUAACGAACUGAAGGUCUUCGGUAGUAAGCCACCAGAAAGUUCAUGUCCACCACCGCCAGUCUGCAAUGAGUGUCCUGAUCCUAGCGAAUAUCAGUGCAAGGACGAUAUCAGUUCCAAUUUCGAUAUUCAACCAACAGCGAAUUACAGUUAUCCAGGAUUACCAAAACGAGAAACAAGUUGUCUUCUCUAUGCAGUUGGUAAGCCGGUUUUCCAUAAAUCUAUCGAUGAGACCUAUGGAUCUUGGCUAAAGGAUGCCGCCGCUAAGCCCAGGGACAAAGAGAAAAUAUAUGUAACGAGAGAAAACGUUACGAAUCGUCUGUACGAAUUCUCCAAUAAAAUGGAAUAUCGUGGAAGCAGUCUUUCCAGCAAAUAUUAUGAGAUAAAAGAAGGAUUUAUGGGAAACGCACAUGUAGUCUUCAAUGGAUCCUUCUAUUACAACCAGGAAAACACCGAAAUCGUUGUCAAAUUGGAUUUGGCAACUUUGAAGAGAACAACAACUAAGCUCCCCCACACAGGACUAUCAACCGGAAAUAAGUUAUACACAACCAACUACAACUACAUGGACUUUAAUGUGGACGAUGUAGGACUAUGGAUUAUCUACAGUACCUACGACUCCAAUAAUACUCUCGUGGUUAAGAUGGACGCAGAAAGUCUUCAAAUUCAAUACAGCUGGAAUAUCACAUUGGAUCAUCAUAAAUUCGGUGAGAUGUUCAUUGUGUGCGGGGUAUUGUAUGCUAUUGAUUCUACGACAGAAAGGAAUUCCCAAAUUCAUGUUGCCGUCGAUCUUUAUAAUGGGAAAUUGAUAAAAGUCGACUUGCCAUUUUCGAAUCCUUUCCGAAGGACCACCACAGUUGGAUACAAUCGUCAUCUUGGGCUCAACUCUAACUGAAGAAAAAGAUAUCAAUUUGAUGGCUGAGUAUUUUUUUGCAACCCUCGCACAAAAAAAAAAAACUAAAAUUUUCAAAUGCGCAACAACUAAACAAACAUUCAGACAAACGAAAUUAAAGUGAUGUCGCCAGAAGAAGAAAUUGAAUUCAAAAUUAAGACCUGAUUUCGAAUCCCUCAAGUGUUGUUAUCUUUCCAAAAUGUCCCCCCAUGAAGAUGAAGAAAUCCGUUCUAUCAACGAAAAAAGGACUCUUGUGUUGGAUACUUGGUAGCCACAUCUCGAACACACAACCAACAGUCAGACAUGUUCUAUUGUUUUUAUGGGAAUUGUACUCUUGGGACAAAGGCAAUCAGCUUACCUAUCCAAUCCGAUAUAACGAACAGACUGUCGAACCGGACGACAUUAAUAGCAAGCACAGUGAUUUUAUCAA